rnacentral:snRNA from 1 species
GCGCUCACUUCAGCAACACAUAUACUAAAAUUGGAAGGAUACAGAGAAGAUUAGCAUGGCUCCUGUGCAGGCAUGACACACAAAUUCGUGAAGCAUUCCGUAUUUUU